rnacentral:rRNA from 1 species
UACGUAGGGCGCAAGCGUUGUCCGGAAUUAUUGGGCGUAAAGGGCUCGUAGGCGGUUUGUCGCGUCGGGAGUGAAAACUCAGGGCUUAACCCUGAGCCUGCUUCCGAUACGGGCAGACUAGAGGUAUGCAGGGGAGAACGGAAUUCCUGGUGUAGCGGUGAAAUGCGUAGAUAUCUGGAGGAAUACCGGUGGCGAAGGCGGCAUCCUGGACCAUUACUGACGCUGAAUCGCGAAAGCUAGGGGAGCAAACGGG